UUGAGCAAUAAGAUUCAGGAUUUGAAGAGAGAUCACUCAAGUCUUUCAGAUCAAGUGAAGAACAUGAAUACUGAUUGUUUUCCUGGCCCUGGUGUUUUAGACAAUCUUCAGAAUCUCAGUAAUGAAUAUGAGCUUUUAAAAAAGAAAUACAUAGAUGAGUCCUCUGAACAAAAGUGGCUUUACAAUGAAGUGAUUGGGCUGAAAGGCAAUAUUAGGGUCUUCUACCGAUGUAGACCUUUAAAUCAAGCUGAAAU